rnacentral:lncRNA from 1 species
UGCAGUAUUCCUAUAUAGAUAUCCUCAACAACCAAGAUAACAUAUAUAGACACAAUCUAUCAACUUCGUACUUUAUUUGGCCUUUUUUUAAAAUCUUUUUUUUUAUUCGAGUGUCACUGUUGAGUCUUUUGUAGACGAAACGCGCGUAUGGCGUAAAAACUAAAUCUAAUCCUGGUUUCUAUGAUGAGAUAUUUACAACCACUGGGUAGAUGCUACUGCUGGUGGGGAGUUUUAACUCCAAGAAUGUAUCACCAGCCCAGUAGUCAGUACUUCUGUGCUGGCAUGAAUUUAUUAUCAUUGAUAUGGUCAUAUUUAUAAAUUAACUUUAUAAAAUUUUUGAAUUUUUGAAAUACUAUGGAUUUUCUACCUCAGGAAUAGAUAACCUCAGUUGUAUUUGGCAAACUUUUAGGAAUUUUGGUCCUCAAUACUCUUCAACUUCGUACUUUAUUUGGCCUUUUUAACUUUUUUUUUAAUUGAGCGUCACUGAUGAGUCUUUUGUAGACGAAACGCACGUCUAGCGUAAAAACCAAACUUUAAUCCUGGUAUCUAUGAUGAGUUUAUUUAAAUCUAAAUAAGUUAAUGCUCAUACAAUUGUUUGAUAUUUCCCCAAUUGUAUGACGUUUUUUUCGCCAGUUAACAAUCCAUAUUCCGCUAUAUAUGUUUAACUACCUAUAUACAUAUUGGCCGUAAAACUCUCCGGCAUUUAAAAGAUUUAAAAUGUCAAGUGUUAAAAGAAAACGUGAAAGGUCUUUCAUUUUCCAUUUGUAGAAUUUACUCUGAUAGAUUAAGAGUGCAAUACAACCCUUAAAAUAGGACAAUAU